rnacentral:lncRNA from 13 species
GUCCACUGUUGCUGUGACAACAGGAUUGGAGAACAGUGUGAUUAAAACAAAACAACCUCUCCCAAAAAUAACCACCAAACCCAACAGAAGAACAUUCUGCUGGCCCCACUAAAUCCAAAUAACCAGACAAUAACAACAUGAUGCCAUUCCAACUUAAUGAAAAUGAAUCAUGUGAAUUUAAUUAUGGAACAGAAGCUCGUGGAACAUCAAUGUCAUGCAGCACACAAAUACACCCUGGUUUUCUGUGUACCAUCUGUUGCAACAGCGUGAGCUGGAGGAUUGAUGGUGUGAUCACACACUCGGAAUCUGCUGUUGUUGGAGAAGGGGCAGCAAGCUCUGCAGCCAUGGGCUCCAGUGUAACACAAAUAUCAGGAGUGGCAAAGAAGAGAAAUCACAGAGUCAUCACAGCAUGUCCUGUGGGGAUUUUUGAUACAAAGGACAGCCUGAGUUUCUCAAUUACGUUUCUGUAUGUGCUUUGUGCUCCGUAA